rnacentral:rRNA from 1 species
GAUGAACGCGGGCGGCGUGCCUAAUACAUGCAAGUCGAGCGAACAGACGAGGAGCUUGCUCCUCUGACGUUAGCGGCGGACGGGUGAGUAACACGUGGAUAACCUACCUAUAAGACUGGGAUAACUUCGGGAAACCGGAGCUAAUACCGGAUAAUAUAUUGAACCGCAUGGUUCAAUAGUGAAAGACGGUUUUGCUGUCACUUAUAGAUGGAUCCGCGCCGCAUUAGCUAGUUGGUAAGGUAACGGCUUACCAAGGCAACGAUGCGUAGCCGACCUGAGAGGGUGCUCGGCCACACUGGAACUGAGACACGGUCCAGACUCCUACGGGAGGCAGCAGUAGGGAAUCUUCCGCAAUGGGCGAAAGCUUGACGGAGCAACGCCGCGUGAGUGAUGAAGGUCUUCGGAUCGUAAAACUCUGUUAUUAGGGAAGAACAAAUGUGUAAGUAACUAUGCACGUCUUGACGGUACCUAAUCAGAAAGCCACGGCUAACUACGUG